CCUACGGGAGGCAGCAGUGGGGAAUAUUGGGCAAUGGGCGCAAGCCUGACCCAGCAACGCCGCGUGAAGGAAGAAGGCUUUCGGGUUGUAAACUUCUUUUCUCAGGGACGAAGCAAGUGACGGUACCUGAGGAAUAAGCCACGGCUAACUACGUGCCAGCAGCCGCGGUAAUACGUAGGUGGCAAGCGUUAUCCGGAUUUACUGGGUGUAAAGGGCGUGUAGGCGGGAAAGCAAGUCAGAUGUGAAAACCAUGGGCUCAACCUGUGGACUGCAUUUGAAACUGUUUUUCUUGAGUACUGGGGAGGCAGACGGAAUUCCUGGUGUAGCGGUGAAAUGCGUAGAUAUUAGGAGGAACACCAGUGGCGAAGGCGGUCUGCUGGACAGCAACUGACGCUGAGGCGCGAAAGCGUGGGGAGCAAACAGGAUUAGAUACCCCGGUAGUC
rnacentral:rRNA from 1 species